UGGGGAAUAUUGGACAAUGGGCGAAAGCCUGAUCCAGCAAUGCCGCGUGAGUGAUGAAGGCCUUCGGGUUGUAAAGCUCUUUUGCCCGGGACGAUAAUGACGGUACCGGGAGAAUAAGCCCCGGCUAACUCCGUGCCAGCAGCCGCGGUAAUACGGAGGGGGCUAGCGUUGUUCGGAAUCACUGGGCGUAAAGCGUACGUAGGCGGCUUGCCAAGUCAGGGGUGAAAGCCUGGGGCUUAACCUCAGAACUGCCCUUGAAACUGGCUCGCUUGAACACAGGAGAGGUGAGUGGAAUUCCGAGUGUAGAGGUGAAAUUCGUAGAUAUUCGGAGGAACACCAGUGGCGAAGGCGACUCACUGGACUGUAGUUGACGCUGAGGUACGAAAGCGUGGGGAGCAAA
rnacentral:rRNA from 1 species